rnacentral:rRNA from 1 species
GAAUGGCUCAUUAAAUCAGUUAUCGUUUAUUUGAUAGUACCUUACUACUUGGAUAACCGUGGUAAUUCUAGAGCUAAUACAUGCUGAAAACCCCAACUUCGGGAGGGGUGUAUUUAUUAGAUAAAAAACCAACGCCCUUCGGGGCUUCUUGGUGAUUCAUGAUAACUUAACGGAUCGCAUGGCCUUGCGCCGGCGACGGUUCAUUCAAAUUUCUGCCCUAUCAACUUUCGAUGGUAAGGUAUUGGCUUACCAUGGUUUCAACGGGUAACGGGGAAUUAGGGUUCGAUUCCGGAGAGGGAGCCUGAGAAACGGCUACCACAUCCAAGGAAGGCAGCAGGCGCGCAAAUUACCCAAUCCCGACACGGGGAGGUAGUGACAAUAAAUACUGAUACAGGGCUCUUUUGGGUCUUGUAAUUGGAAUGAGUACAAUUUAAACCUCUUAACGAGGAACAAUUGGAGGGCAAGUCUGGUGCCAGCAGCCGCGGUAAUUCCAGCUCCAAUAGCGUAUAUUAAAGUUGUUGCAGUUAAAAAGCUCGUAGUUGAAACUUGGGUCUGGCUGGCAGGUCCGCCUCACCGCGUGUACUUGUCCGGCCGGGCCUUCCUUCUGGAGAACCUCAUGCCCUUCACUGGGCGUGUUGGGGACCAGGACUUUUACUUUGAAAAAAUUAGAGUGUUCAAAGCAGGCCUUUGCUCGAAUACGUUAGCAUGGAAUAAUAGAAUAGGACGUGCGGUCCUAUUUUGUUGGUUUCUAGGACCGCCGUAAUGAUUAAUAGGGACAGUCGGGGGCAUCAGUAUUCAAUUGUCAGAGGUGAAAUUCUUGGAUUUAUUGAAGACUAACUACUGCGAAAGCAUUUGCCAAGGAUGUUUUCAUUAAUCAGUGAACGAAAGUUAGGGGAUCGAAGACGAUCAGAUACCGUCGUAGUCUUAACCGUAAACUAUGCCGACUAG